rnacentral:rRNA from 1 species
AACCAGCACCUCAAGUGGUCAGGAUGAUUAUUGGGCCUAAAGCAUCCGUAGCUCGUUUUGUAAGUUUUCGGUUAAAUCCAUACGCUUAACGUAUGGGCUGCCGGGAAUACUGCAUAACUAGGAAGUGGGAGAGGUAGACGGUACUCGGUAGGAAGGGGUAAAAUCCUUUGAUCUAUUGAUGACCACCUGUGGCGAAGGCGGUCUACCAGAACACGUUCGACGGUGAGGGAUGAAAGCUGGGGGAGCAAACCGGAUUAGAUACCCGGGUAGUCCCAGCUGUAAACUAUGCAAACUCAGUGAUGCAUUGGCUUGUGGCCAAUGCAGUGCUGCAGGGAAGCCGUUAAGUUUGCCGCCUGGGAAGUACGUACGCAAGUAUG